rnacentral:rRNA from 1 species
GAACUUUCCAGAGAUGGAUUGGUGCCUUCGGGAACUGUGAGACAGGUGCUGCAUGGCUGUCGUCAGCUCGUGUUGUGAAAUGUUGGGUUAAGUCCCGCAACGAGCGCAACCCUUAUCCUUUGUUGCCAGCGGUCCGGCCGGGAACUCAAAGGAGACUGCCAGUGAUAAACUGGAGGAAGGUGGGGAUGACGUCAAGUCAUCAUGGCCCUUACGACCAGGGCUACACACGUGCUACAAUGGCGCAUACAAAGAGAAGCGACCUCGCGAGAGCAAGCGGACCUCAUAAAGUGCGUCGUAGUCCGGAUUGGAGUCUGCAACUCGACUCCAUGAAGUCGGAAUCGCUAGUAAUCGUGGAUCAGAAUGCCACGGUGAAUACGUUCCCGGGCCUUGUACACACCGCCCGUCACACCAUGGGAGUGGGUUGCAAAAGAAGUAGGUAGCUUAACCUUCGGGAGGGCGCUUACCACUUUGUGAUUCAUGACUGGGGUGAAGUCGUAACAAGGUAACCGUAGGGGAACCUGCGGUUGG